rnacentral:lncRNA from 1 species
CAAUAUCUGAAGGAGGGUAUUAUACCUCAAUUUAGCACAGCUAUAUUGUUAAACUUUUGCAGAGCAAGACACGUAAUUAGUAUCUUGCUGUUUAUGAUAGCUGUAUGUUGAUGAUGAGAUACAGGUCUUCAUCAGGCAAACAUUGUUAUAAAGCUUCUCUUGGAGUGUGUGUCUCAUGGGCUUUAUCUUUACAAAGGCUGCCUACUUCUGUAUUAACACUUCAGUUAAAUCUAGGUUUUUGUUCAUCUGUAAAUAAGGUUAUUUGUCCGUAUAUAUAUAUACAUAUACUAAUAUGACAACAUUCAGAUUAAAAAAUCAUUAUGGGACAGUUUAUGAUUAUUCUGCUUCCAAGGAGGAAAUUGGACAUAGUGAUGACGCCCAGGUGGCCAAAGGAUAUGGAGAAAAAAACAAUUUUCAAUGGGAAUUUCAAAGCAAAGCUGGUACUGGGGGAAAUCACACAGCCCUUUGGAAGAAGAAUAGUGAAAAUACAGAUAUGGCACCUCUAUUCUCAAGAUUAGACAUCUACUUCAGGGUAAAAUUGAAAGUACAAGCCAGGAUUCUUGAAAAGACUCACUGACUCAGACAACAUCAACUGACACAAAUAUUUCAUUAACGAUCACCAGAGAAGACAGCAAUGGCCACCAAAACACUAUGAAACACCUGUGGUAUGGACAAAGUUUGUUCAUUGUUUUUGUAAAGUACUUCUAAGAAUCUGAAAUGUCUGGUUGUACCUUCCAUAUCGGUACUUUAAAUCCAUCUAUAAAUGGGUGCAAUUGCUAGUAUUUUUUAAGCACUUUUUUGAGAUGCAAUUCUAUUUAUCUUACUAAAUGUUUUGCACUUUAUAACAACACAUAAAGUAGUACUGUUCUAUAUUAGUAAAAGAAAAAUUAUGAGGAACUUCUUGUGCAGUAAAUUACAAGCAAGGACAAAUUUAAAAGACUUGUCCUUGACUGCCUUAUUUCUACUGGGCAAAAAUAAGCCUUAGUGAUUUAUGAUAAGAGAAAUAAUGACUUUAUUAAAGACUUGUUCAAGCUCAUUUUGCAAAAUAUAUAGUACAUGUGAUCAUUUAUUACUGAUUUUUUAUGCUUCAGUUGUACUAUGAGACACACAUCAUUUGCUUAUUUCAUUAAAACCUUUUCUACAAAAAAGAAGAUAUUAGGUCAUCAACCUAAUAUUACAAAUU